rnacentral:lncRNA from 1 species
GUUAGAGUUAAGAGUGGAAAGAUACACUGAUGCUGAUGGUAGAAUAUCUACAUCAGCAUGUAUUCUUGAGCUAUAUUGGUUCGAUAUGUUGGAAUAGUUCCAGGUAAUUGACCAAUGAAAGCUGAAUAUGCUAUAGAUGUAUAGGAUGCAUUCUGAUUUUUAUAAUAGUUACAAAACUUAAUAUCAUACCAUUAGAUACUAUGAUAUUGUACUGCAAAGAUAAUGGUCCAUAACCAUUACUAAGGAGGCAAGGUCUCACCAGAAGUCCAUGUACAUAGAGCAGAGAUAUACAUGAUUACCUCAAGUAGAAAUAUAUGGAGGUA